AAUGGUGGCUUUAGCACGGGUGUUCACCUCUUCCCAUUCCGAACAGAGCAGUUAAGCCCCGUAGCGCCCAUGGUACUGCCUUCACCGGCGGGAGAGUAGGUCGCCGCCAACC
rfam:Hymenobacter sp. DG25B, complete genome.